AUGAACGCUGGCGGCGUGCCUCAUACAUGCAAGUCGAGCGAACGGACGAGAAGCUUGCUUUUCUGAUGUUAGCGGCGGACGGGUGAGUAACACGUGGAUAACCUACCUAUAAGACUGGGAUAAUUUCGGGAAACCGGAGCUAAUACCGGAUAAUAUUUUGAACCGCAUGGUUCAAAAGUGAAAGACGGUCUUGCUGUCACUUAUAGAUGGAUCCGCGCUGCAUUAGCUAGUUGGUAAGGUAACGGCUUACCAAGGCAACGAUGCAUAGCCGACCUGAGAGGGUGAUCGGCCACACUGGAACUGAGACACGGUCCAGACUCCUACGGGAGGCAGCAGUAGGGAAUCUUCCGCAAUGGGCGAAAGCCUGACGGAGCAACGCCGCGUGAGUGAUGAAGGUCUUCGGAUCGUAAAACUCUGUUAUUAGGGAAGAACAUAUGUGUAAGUAACUGUGCACAUCUUGACGGUACCUAAUCAGAAAGCCACGGCUAACUACGUG
rnacentral:rRNA from 1 species